UACGUAGGGGGCAAGCGUUGUCCGGAUUUAUUGGGCGUAAAGAGCGUGUAGGCGGUUUGGUAGGUCCGUUGUGAAAACUCGAGGCUCAACCUCGAGACGCCGAUGGAAACCAUCAGACUAGAGUCCGGAAGAGGAGAGUGGAAUUCCUGGUGUAGCGGUGAAAUGCGCAGAUAUCAGGAAGAACACCGGUGGCGAAGGCGGGUCUCUGGGCCGAUAUCGACGCUGAGGAGCGAAAGCGUGGGGAGCGAACAGG
rnacentral:rRNA from 1 species